rnacentral:rRNA from 1 species
CCUACGGUGUGCAGCAGUGAGGAAUAUUGGUCAAUGGGCGAGAGUCUGAACCAGCCAAGUAGCGUGAAGGAUGACUGCCCUAUGGGUUGUAAACUUCUUUUAUAUGGGAAUAAAAUGUUCCACGUGUGGGAUUAUGUAUGUACCAUAUGAAUAAGGAUCGGCUAACCCCGUGCCAGGAGCCGCGGUAAGACGGAGGAUGGGAGCGAUAGCCGGAUUUAUUGGGUUUAAAGGGAGCGUUGGGGGAGUGUUAAGUCAGUUGUGAAAGUUUGGGGUUCAACCGUAAAAUUGCAGUUGAAACUGGCAGUCUUGAGUACAAUAGAGGUAGGCGGAAUGCGUGGUGUAGCGGUGAAAUGCUUAGAUAUCACGAAGAACUCCGAUUGCGAAGGCAGCUCACUGGCCUGCAACUGACACUGAGGCACGAAAGUGUGGGUAUCAAACAGGAUUAGAUACCCCAGUAGUC